GACGAACGCUGGCGGCGCGCCUAACACAUGCAAGUCGAACGAGAGAGAGGGAGCUUGCUUCCUCGAUCGAGUGGCGAACGGGUGAGUAACGCGUGAGGAACCUGCCUCAAAGAGGGGGACAACAGUUGGAAACGACUGCCAAUACCGCAUAAGCCCACGGGUCGGCAUCGACCAGAGGGAAAAGGAGUGAUCCGCGUUGAGAUGGCCUCGCGUCCGAUUAGCUAGUUGGUGAGGUAACGGCCCACCAAGGCAACGAUCGGUAGCCGGACUGAGAGGUUGAACGGCCACAUUGGGACUGAGACACGGCCCAGACUCCUACGGGAGGCAGCAGUGGGGAAUAUUGCACAAUGGGGGAAACCCUGAUGCAGCGACGCCGCGUGGAGGAAGAAGGUCUUCGGAUUGUAAACUCCUGUUGUUGAGGAAGAUAAUGACGGUACUCAACAAGGAAGUGACGGCUAACUACGUGCCAGCCGCCGCAGUAACAC
rnacentral:rRNA from 1 species